GACGAACGCUGGCGGCGUGCUUAACACAUGCAAGUCGAACGAAGUGGCGAACGGGUGAGUAACGCGUACACAACCUGCUCUUCAACGGGGGACAACAGUUGGAAACGACUGCUCAUACAGUAUACUGUAGGAGGGGCGUGCGUCUGAUUAGCUAGUUGGGGGGGUAACGGCCCACCAAGGCGAUGAUCAGUAGCCGGUCUUAGAGGAUGAACGGCAAAAGUGGGACUGAGACACGGCCCAGACUCCUACGGGAGGCAGCAGUGGGGAAGCUUCCGCAAUGGACGAAAGUCUGACGGAGCAACGCCGCGUGAGUGAUGACGGCCUUCGGGUUGUAAAGCUCUGUUAAUCGGGACGCGGUACCGGAAUAGAAAGCCACGGCUAACUACGUGCCAGCAGCCGCGGUAAUAC
rnacentral:rRNA from 1 species